rnacentral:rRNA from 1 species
AGAGUUUGAUCCUGGCUCAGAACGAACGCUGGCGGCAGGCUUAACACAUGCAAGUCGAGCGCCCCUCCUUCAAGCAAGCUUGAAGGUCCUUUGGCCGAAGGCCAGGAAAGAGGAUCAAGAAAGCCGAGCUUUCUUGAUGGAGGGGAGCGGCAGACGGGUGAGUAACGCGUGGGAAUCUACCUAGCUCUACGGAAUAACCCAGGGAAACUUGGACUAAUACCGUAUACGUCCGAGAGGAGAAAGAUUUAUCGGAGUUAGAUGAGCCCGCGUUGGAUUAGCUAGUUGGUGGGGUAAAGGCCUACCAAGGCGACGAUCCAUAGCUGGUCUGAGAGGAUGAUCAGCCACACUGGGACUGAGACACGGCCCAGACUCCUACGGGAGGCAGCAGUGGGGAAUAUUGGACAAUGGGCGCAAGCCUGAUCCAGCCAUGCCGCGUGAGUGAUGACGGCCUUAGGGUUGUAAAGCUCUUUCAACGGUGAAGAUAAUGACGGUAACCGUAGAAGAAGCCCCGGCUAACUUCGUGCCAGCAGCCGCGGUAAUACGAAGGGGGCUAGCGUUGUUCGGAAUUACUGGGCGUAAAGCGCACGUAGGCGGAUACUUAAGUCAGGGGUGAAAUCCCGGGGCUCAACCCCGGAACUGCCUUUGAUACUGGGUAUCUAGAGUAUGGUAGAGGUGAGUGGAAUUCCGAGUGUAGAGGUGAAAUUCGUAGAUAUUCGGAGGAACACCAGUGGCGAAGGCGGCUCACUGGACCAU